AUUCAUACACAUUAUAUUCGUGGUCCUUGUUCUCCAAGAUCCGUGGAAGAUGCAAAAGAGCAUUCCGUUGAGAUCGAGAGCUUCCAAGAUAAUAACUGAAUCCCUCUCUCGUAAGGAAUAAGCGGCAGUGCUAGAUUGUUGGCACCAUGAAGCUCCCAGAUCAGAUUCACCAAAGAAGAGGAAAACAAUCCACCAGAAAAUGAUCCAACAACUCUCCCAUCAGAAGUACCAAUGGAAGCAGCAGACAUACAUCUUCCAAGCGGAGAUGGAGCAUGCAAAGCAGAAGAUGGAACCACUGAGGAAUGCCUCCCGACCAUGGCAUCAACAGCAGCAUGGCAACCUACAACAUCAAUCAAUCGG